rnacentral:rRNA from 1 species
CGAAGCAACGACGAAGAACCUUACCAAGACUUGACAUCCCCUGACAGCUGUUGAAAGGCAGUGUCUCUCCGGAGCAGGGAGACAGGUGGUGCAUGGUUGUCGUCAGCUCGUGUCGUGAGAUGUUGGGUUAAGUCCCGCAACGAGCGCAACCCUUAUCCUUAGUUACCAGCACGUAAAGGUGGGGACUCUAGGGAGACCGCCGGGGACGACUCGGAGGAAGGUGGGGACGACGUCAAAUCAUCAUGCCCCUUAUGUCUUGGGCUACACACGUGCUACAAUGGCCGCAACAGAGGGAAGCGAGAGCGCAAGCUGGAGCAAAACCCUAAAAAGCGGUCCCAGUUCGGAUUGUGGGCUGCAACCCGCCCACAUGAAGUCGGAGUUGCUAGUAAUCGCGAAUCAGCAUGUCGCGGUGAAUGCGUUCCCGGGCCUU